rnacentral:rRNA from 1 species
GAUGAACGCUAGCGGGAGGCCUAACACAUGCAAGCCGAGCGGGAUUUGUUGGUUAGCUUGCUAACUAAUGAUGAGAGCGGCGUACGGGUGCGGAACAUGUGUGCAAUCUGCCCUUAUCAAGGGGAUAGCCCAGAGAAAUCUGGAUUAAUACCCUAUAAUAUAUGGGAUGGCAUCAUUUCAUAUUAAAAGCUACGGCGGAUAAGGAUGAGCACGCACAAGAUUAGCUAGUUGGUAAGGUAACGGCUUACCAAGGCGACGAUCUUUAGGGGGCCUGAGAGGGUGAUCCCCCACACUGGGACUGAUACACGGCCCAGACUCCUACGGGAGGCAGCAGUGAGGAAUAUUGUUUAAUGGGUGGAAGCCUGAUCCCCCUUCGCGCGUGGCGACGACUGCCCCAUAGGUUGUAAACUGUUUUUUAUAGGGAGAAACCUACUCUGGUCGU